UACCCGCAGCUCAAGUGGUGGUCAGUAUUAUUGGGCCUAAAGCGUCCGUAGCUGGCUUGUUAGAUGCCUGGGUAAAUCGAUGCGCUUAACGCAUCGAAUUCCGGGUAGACCGGCAAGCUCGAGACCGGGAGAGGUGUAGGCUACUCGAGGGGUAGGGGUAAAAUCCUGUAAUCCUUCGGGGAGGACCAGUGGCGAAGGCGCUACACUAGAACGGCUCUGACAGUGAGGGACGAAGCCCUGGGGCGCAAACCGG
rnacentral:rRNA from 1 species